GUCCCAGUGGGUUUGAGCAGUUUGAGUGUUGGACUAGGACUCUGGAGACCAGGGUUCGAAUCCCUGCUUGGCCA